UACGUAGGGGGCAAGCGUUGUCCGGAAUCAUUGGGCGUAAAGCGCACGUAGGCGGCCCGGUAAGUCCGUUGUGAAAGUCAGAGGCUCAACCUCUGGAGGCCAAUGGAUACUGCCGGGCUAGAGUCCGGAAGAGGCGAGUGGAAUUCCUGGUGUAGCGGUGAAAUGCGCAGAUAUCGGGAGGAACACCAGUGGCGAAGGCGGUUGCCUGGGGCUUUGCUGACGCUGAUGCGCGAAAGCGUGGGGAGCGAUCCGG
rnacentral:rRNA from 1 species